rnacentral:rRNA from 1 species
AUCGAACGCUGGCGGCAGGCCUAACACAUGCAAGUCGAACGAGUGGCGGACGGGUGAGUAAUGUCUGGGAAACUGCCUGAUGGAGGGGGAUAACUACUGGAAAAGGUAGCUAAUACCGCAUACCAUCGGAUGUGCCCAGAUGGGAUUAGCUAGUAGGUGGGGUAAAGGCGCACCUAGGCGACGAUGCCUAGCUGGUCUGAGAGGAUGACCAGCCACACUGGAACUGAGACACGGUCCAGACUCCUACGGGAGGCAGCAGUGGGGAAUAUUGCACAAUGGGCGCAAGCCUGAUGCAGCCAUGCCGCGUGUAUGAAGAAGGCCUUCGGGUUGUAAAGUACUUUCGGCGGGGAGGCGUUACCCACAGAGAAAGCACCGGCUAACUCCGUGCCAGCCGCCGCGGUAAUUC